CCCUUAGAUGUCCUGGGCCGCACGCGCGUUACACUGAUGCAUUCAACGAGCUUAUAACCUUGGCCGAGAGGCCUGGGCAAUCUUGUUAACGUGCAUCGUGAUAGGGAUAGAUUAUUGAAAUUAUUAAUCUUGAACGAGGAAUUCCUAGUAAACGCAGAUCAUCAAUCUGCAUUGAUUACGUCCCUGCCCUUUGUACACACCGCCCGUCGCACCUACCGAUUGAGUGGUCCGGUGAGGCUUUGGGAUCUGGAUGGAAAGAGCGUUUCGCUGUUUCUGCCCGGAAAACUCAGUCGAACCUUAUCAUUUAGAGGAAGGAGAAGUCGUAACA
rnacentral:rRNA from 1 species